CCCACGGGGGGCAGCAGUGGGGAAUAUUGGACAAUGGGGGCAACCCUGAUCCAGCCAUGCCGCGUGUGUGAAGAAGGCCCUCGGGUUGUAAAGCACUUUCAGUGAGGAAGAACGCCUGGUGGUUAAUACCCAUCAGGAAAGACAUCACUCACAGAAGAAGCACCGGCUAACUCCGUGCCAGCAGCCGCGGUAAUACGGAGGGUGCGAGCGUUAAUCGGAAUUACUGGGCGUAAAGCGCGCGUAGGUGGCUUGAUAAGCCGGUUGUGAAAGCCCCGGGCUCAACCUGGGAACGGCAUCCGGAACUGUCAAGCUAGAGUGCAGGAGAGGAAGGUAGAAUUCCCGGUGUAGCGGUGAAAUGCGUAGAGAUCGGGAGGAAUACCAGUGGCGAAGGCGGCCUUCUGGACUGACACUGACACUGAGGUGCGAAAGCGUGGGUAGCAAACAGGAUUAGAUACCCGGGUAGUC
rnacentral:rRNA from 1 species